GUCUGGACUCUGAGAUUGACUACACCUGAGAUGACCUUGACUCGCUCUCAUACUGGCCUGACUUUCUUUGUCUUCCGUGGCCUCUUCCCUCACCUGGGCGGGGGCUCUUGCGAGGAGCCGCGGGGCUCCUGCCGGCUCUGCGCGGCUCCCGUCCCCGGGCGGCCCGGCAGCCCUCCUGCUCCAGGACGUUCGCUGUGGUUUCCGCGGUACCAGCGUCUGACGGUCGGAAAAGGGGGCCCUCUCACCUCGGCGGGACGCCCGGCGGCGUGGAUGAUCCCCGAGGGCGCACUUCUAACCAGCUGCCCUUCCAAGCUGAGGCUUCAUCCUUUUCCGGCCUUUGUUGCAAAUAAGCGACGGAGCUGCGAGUAGGUGGGACCCCCGUCGAUGUUUAUUUUAUUACUUUCCACCAUUUGUGCAGAAAAUGUACACAACCCUCUCUUAUCUUUUUUCAGGCAGUUUUAAAGGCAUUCAGCAUGGGGUCUGAAAAAUGACGGGCCAUGGAGAGCUCUGUUGUUUUUGGUGUUUGGGGAAAAGAUCUGCUUUGGAGAUUAGACUGGAUUGUGUGCCUGCCGAGAGCUGGGAGCUGGCAGGAAUGGCUUUUUUUUUCUGAAGGCAGCUGCCCGAGGGGUCCCGGCUCCAGGCCAGGAGUCUGUGGUCCCCAGGACCUGGAGGUGGGAUGGGCUGGAACAGGAGAGCAGCAGGUGACAGCGCGCUCAUCGAAUGCCAUCCUGGUGUGAACUCUGGAUGUGGUACGAAGGCGUUUUAUGGGGCAGAUAAGCCAGAGCUUGAGGUGUGGGCCAGUCGGCUGCUGCAGAGUCUAAGGGAGGCCUGGAGUCUAAGAGACACUCCAGGGCCAGGGUGAGAGCUUUAGGAGAUGCGGAGUGAGCUUUCUAAAGGAAGACCCCGCUGACUGUGGUGGACAGAAGGCCACUCGGAAGGUUGGAAAGACCCCCAGGUGCUGGAAUGCAGGCCCCAGGAAGCCAGAAGUUCCUUCUCCAUCCUGCUGCGCCCCCAGUCCUUGCCGCAAGCACUGUCUCACUGUGCCACCCCUGAGGCCGUGCUGCGCUGCUCUUCGUUCUCCCUUGUUGCCUUUACCGCCCUCUUACUCCGAGAAGUCCUCCCCUUCUGCAGGUACAGGAGGACGGCGAUGGAUGGAGGUUGACCUCCCCUCUGCAUCGUGCGCACGGCGCCCUUCAAGCCAGUGCAGACCCUGCAGUCAUUUCACAAUGUGCUGUUUGAAGGUUCCCUACAAAGGCUUGGAGACAUCUGCUCCCUAACUUUCAACCCCUCGGGGAUCAGCACUGAUGGGUUAAUGGUAAAUGCCCGGACGUGGAACCUGACCAAACACUUGUAGGUUUGAAAGACCCAUCUAUUUUUUCAUUUAUUCCCUGGCCCUUGAACUUGUGUGGAGAUGAGGAAGUAAACCUGGCCAAGUGUGACCUCACGUCUCAGUGAUCACCAGGGUUCCUUGAACCUGGAAGAGGGCACGGCAACCCGCUCCAGGAUUCUUGCCUGGAGAAUUCCACGGACAGAGGAGUCUGGCAGGCUGUAGUCCAUGGGGUUGCAAAGAGUCGGAUACAACUCGGCGACUAACCCUUUCUUCACUUUCUUUCUUCUUGGGCUCCUGGAAGUGGUUUUAGGCAAAGGACGGAUGUGCGUCCAUCUCCAGACAAGGACUAACUUAGCUGCAAAACCUCGGUGGGGUUUGAACUCACUGUAACCUGAUGUUCACUGCUCCAUGCCUAAACCACAGUGUGCGAUUCCUGAAAUGGAAGGGACUCGGUGGACCUGACUCCACUGGAGACGUCGGAGCUGGCCCAGGUGCACACGGCCUCCUGGCCCCAAAGGAACCAGGGAAUCGCCUCUCUCACUGUCCCCUGCCCCCUGGACACCCGAGCUUCUUGCUGGGUUCCCUCAGCAGGAGCCACCUUUGGCCUCUGGGUCUGAAGAAAAGGUGAACUUCGGUUGCCUGCCCUGGGGUCCCAGGCCUCUGACUCUGUGAGAGCGGCCGUGUUGGGGCCCCAGUCCACAGGCGUGGCUCAGAUCCGAGCUCCAUCACUUGUGGGACGGGGUUGGACUGAAAGCUGGGGCCUAACGGCCUCUUCAGCGCCCAGGCCCAGCUCCCUGGGCAUACCUUGCUCAUGGUGAAAGGGCAGGAAGCGGGGAGCCUUGGCUCUGGCUAGGCCUCCUCGCUGAUCUGGCUGGCUCAUGAUGACGUGGGGCCCUCAGGGGGAGCCUGCAGGGGUCCCUGACACAGAGCCCGCCUCGCUGGCCUGCACUUGGUCACUUCUCUUCCUGCUGCUACUCGGCUGGGGACUCGGUUUAAGCAAGGACCCAGCACUGUCCGGCCUUGUUCACCAGGUACACACCCAAGGGCUGCGCUGGAAGUUUCUCUGGAGACCGCAGGGGUCCUGACCACAAGAAGCCUGGAAGGGGGUGCGUCUGAGCCUCCCCUCAGCCCCCGGAACUGCCCCUUCGGCCUGCUGUCACAAGGAUCCGGUGAGAAGGGGAGAUGGCAGACGGGACCGCUGUGUCCUUGGAACGAGACGGUGUGUACAGGGCCCACCCAGCCCUCCCCGCCUCCACUGGGAGCCCCAGAUCCUGCGGGUACAACUUACCAUGGGCAGUUGGACCUAUGGAGACCAGACGUCUUUGCAAAUGUUCAAAAACUCCCUUCAAAAUCCCACAGGGCCCCCAUCAAACUCCUUAAUCUUGGCUAAAUUAAACUAAGCACUGACUGUGAACCAGUUAGAAAUAUGACGGGGGCUUCCCUGGCGGUCCAGUGGCCAGACUGCGUUUCCUCUGUAGGACUGCGCGUUCCACACCUAGUGGGACAGCUAAGACCCUGCAGAACUAAGAUCCAUGGCACGACCACCAUUUUUUUUAAUUAAAAAAAAAAUUACUAUGACAGCACUGUUCUACAAUUUUAUGCCCCAAAGUAUUGGCCACUCAAAAUAGUUUAUAUUUUUAAAUGAAUAGCUUAUGACAUCAUUCAUGUGUUUAGAGCAUUUCAGAAAGCUUUUUGUUUUGGAAAGUUCCACAUAGUUAUUGUAAAAGGUAGAGAAAAUAGGAUAAUGAACUCCCACAUACCCAAGAUUCCACUUCAGCCACUCCCAACUGAUGGCCAAUAUUAUUUUAUCCUUAUUCCUUUCCAUUCCUCUGUCACCUACAUUUUUAAAAAAACAAACCACAGACAUCAUAUAAUUUUAUCUAUAUUUCACUAUGUUAUUCUAAAGAUAAGAAGUCAUUAAAAAAUAAGCAAAUUCCAUUAUCAUACCUACAAAAUUAAUAGUAAUUUUAACAUUAAAUACUCAGUAUUCAAAUUUUCAAUUAUCUUAAAAUGUAAGGUUAUUUUAAAGUCAUUUUUACUGAGGUGCAUUUUUUGUAUAAUAAAAUGUACCUAUAUUAAGGGUGCAGGUAAACUGACAAAUCUAUACACUCCUGUAACCACCAUCAUAUCAAGAUAUAGAAUAUUUUUGCCACCACAGUAAGCUGCUUCCUACACUUGCUGUCAACUUCACCUCCUUUUCUAUCCUCAGCCCCAGGCUACUUGGCUUUUUUUUUUUUUUUUAAUUUAUGUACUGCAAGAAGAUCCAACCAGUUCAUCCUAAAGGAAAUCAGUCCCGAAUAUUCAUUGCAAGGACUGAUGCUGACGGUGAAACUCCAAUACUUUGGCCGCUUGAUGCGAAGAACUGACUCGUUGGAAAAAACCCUGAUGCUGGGAAAGAUUGAAGGUGGGAGGAGAAGGGGACGACAGAGGAUGAGAUGGUUGGAUGGCAUCACAGACUCAGUGGACGUGAGUCUGAGUAAGCUCCAGGAGUUGGUGAUGGACAGGGAGGCCUGGCGUGCCGCGGUCCAUGGGGUCUCAGAGAGAUGGACACGACUUAGCGACUGAACAACAACAAAACGUUUAUGUGAAUGUAGGAAUUAUAGGAUAUAUGUUUAUGUAUCUUUUUUUUUUUCUGGCCACUUAAAACAUUUCCUGCCAACUACUGGUUCUCAGCAGUUUGACUGAUGCCCCUCACUGCGGUUUGUCUUUGCCGCCUACUCCCUGUCUUCUUCCUGGACUCUGACUGCACACAUCUGACUACUUGGUAAUUAACCUACAGGUUGCUGAGCUUGUGUGUCUGUGUUUUGUCUUUUUUCCUCUCUAUUUGAACAUUUUCCAUUGCAGUGUCUUCAUAUUCACUGAUCUUUCUUUUGGAAUAUCUGAUCUAAUGUUACAGUUAAAUUUUUUCAACAGAUACUAUACUUUUCUUCUCUAGAAGUCCCAUUUGAUUCUUUUUUUAAAAAAAUAUUUUUCAUCUUUCUCUUCAUCAUGUGCAUGUUUUCCUUUUAGAUUUUAAAUAUACGUAUAAUAGAUUUUUAGGUGUCCUUGUCCGCUGUUUCCAGCCUCUCUAUCAUUUGUAGAUUUGUUUCUUUUGACUGAUUUUCCUUCUUGUUAUGGGUAAAAAUUUGCUGAUUUUUUUUGCAUGUCUAGUAAUUUUUAAUUGGAUGCAGGACAUGAACUUUAGGUCACUGAAUGUUUGGAUUUUUUUUUAAAGAGUUUUUGAAUUUGUUUUGCUUGAAAAUUAAGUUACAUGUUUCUGAUUAACCCUUACCAAAUUUAUUUAUUUAUUUAAAUUGGAGUAUAUUGCUUUACAACGUCGUGGUCAUUUCUUCUGUACAACAGCAUGAAUCGGACAUGUGUACACAUAUAUCCGCCCCCUCUCGAGCCUCCCACUCUACCACCCCCACCCCACCCAGUCCUCCGGGUCAUCGCAGAGCACCAGGCUGAGCUCUGGGCACUGUCCUGCAGCGGCCCCCGGCUGUCUGUCUGCGCGUGGCAGCGUAUGAGCGUCAGCGCCACGCUCUCGAUCUGCCCCGCUCUGUGUCCCAUCCCCAUGUCUCUAAGUCCGUGCCAGCUUUGUUCUUCAGCCCUUUUUAGGGUAGCUCUAGACUAGUCUGCAGUCAGUCCCGUCACUACGAUGCGCCACUUCUGGUAUCUCCACCUACCGCCCUGGGUGUUUGGGCAGGCAUGUCCACUGCAGCUGGUUGGAAGCUGUAGCUCUCCUAGCCCUGCAAAGUCUAGGAACCGUCACAAUCGCAGUUCUUCAGUUCUCUGUCCAGCCUUGCAGAUGCCCCCCCACCCCCCACCCCAUGAAUGGUCUGAAUUUGCCCAGGCUCGAGGGCCCCUGCAGACUUUUGGACGCUUCUGUGCACAGUUCUCUCUGGCACUUGGCCCCUCACACCCCAGCAGACAUGUCCCUCAGCUCAGACGGGGACUUCCUCCGCUGCUUCUGUCCUUUUACUGUUGUUUUAAAUUUACUUUAAGGCAAAAAUGAAGGAUGACUGUAAUCUCUGUGAUCAGCAUCAUACUGUUUGAUAUCUUAUGUCUAAAAAUGUUUUUAUUUGUAUUUUUCCCAAUUUUCUAUUUGUUCAGCAGAGAAAAAUAAUCUAUUCUGGUUUCUCCUUCAUAGCCAGAAAUAUAAGCCAUGACGUUAAGACACAGUUUAUGUACUCGAAUUGGUAUUCAAAUAAA